rnacentral:rRNA from 1 species
GGUUAACGCUGGCGGCGUGCCUAACACAUGCAAGUCGAACGAGGCUUUCUCUCCCGUAAGGGAGGGGAUGUCCUAGUGGCGAACGGGUGAGUAGCACGUGGGCAACCUACCCUUCUGUGGGGGACAACUCCGGGAAACCGGGGCUAAUACCGCAUGCGGUCACCGAUCGAUUGGUCGGUGCAGAAAGCAGCAAUGCGCAGGAGGAUGGGCCCGCGGCCUAUCAGCUAGUUGGUGGGGUAACGGCCUACCAAGGCGAAGACGGGUAGCUGG